AAAUAAAGAACACCUCUUAUUGUAAAACAUACACUACUGUGACAUUAGUUGGUAGUAUAGACAUAUAACCCUUCCCUGCAACCAGCAUGAUAUGCCUGCGGAAGCUAAAACUACAGUAUAUCCUCUCCUACUACAGAAAGCUUACAAGCCUCUCUCUUACUUAUAUACUACAUACCAUAAUUUAUGAUAGAACUUUGCAGCUUUUCUCAGCUUCAGUCUGGAAGUGCUCUCUUUAACGUUUCUGUUAUCUAAUAUGUUAAAACUACAAACUAUAUACGGUCCCAAAUUCCUUUCGGUAACCACAACAACCUCUUCCUUCUCUUAGUUCUCAGCAGCUCCAACAGAAGCACCACGGCUAAGGAGAUGUGAAGACAACCUACCAGCUCAUAGAUCGAACUCUUCGCAGAACUCUUGGUGGUCUUCGCUUCUCUACAACUGGUAUCAGGUUCUCCAUGAUCUGCUUAAGUCUCUCCUUAUUCUUUUCCUCCUCUUCUCUCAACAACCUUGCAUUUUCCUCCUCCAAUUGUGUAACCAAAGACUCCAAUUCCACAGUAUAAGCCUGUUUUCGCUCUCUAGACCUGGCAGCAGACUCUCUGUUCUUGAUCAUCCGUCGCUGUUUCUGCUGUGUAGCCCUAUCAGCCGGCAACUCCUCCACAGUUGACCUUCUCUUCCCUCUUCCACUCCCACUUCCACUCCCUGUAAUAGCCACCACCCCAUUUCCAAAUCCCAUGUGGGGUUGGGGUUCCAUACCAUACCCUCCUGGUCCAUUCUGCAUGGCCACCGGAAACUGACAAUUCCCAGUACCCAUCAUGUUAUCCACCACAAACCCUCUGGCAGACGGAGCCCCCGUGGCUGGAGGCGGUGGCGGAGGUGGUGGAGGAGCGAUCACCGGAACUCUAACAUCCUCCUCAGUAACCGCCCCAGCUUUGGUCAAAAAAUCCUCCAGAGUCAUCUCCGGCUCCCUACUCCCUCCCCCUCCCCCUCCUCCUGCUACAAUUUCCCUCCACACCUCAUCCACAGUCUUAGUAGGCCCCACAUCCCCAACACCGGCUGCGGUAGCAGAAGGUGUAUGGACUGCGGCGGUUGCAGAUACAGAACAAGCAAAAGGGUCGGAAUCAGAGUAAAUGUUCUUCAGAAUUUCAUCCAUGUUCAUAGAAUCGAAGUUUCUAGAAGGAUGAGAGUGAUUUAGAGAAGAAGAUGGGUUUUGGGGAUGUAAUGAACGAUCCGAAUUAGGCGUUGUUGAUGCUGACGGCAUCACCUUUGACGCCAUAGUUGCCGACUUCGUAGGGAUCUCGUUUCUCCCUUUCCUUUUCUUACUCUAAAAAUACACAAAUUGCUCCUUAUAAUUUCACAAACUUUGGAUCUUUUCCAUUUUUCUCUAUUCUUUCUUCUUCUUCUUCUCCAGAGGCCACAAACUCCAAACUAUUUUGUCAAAU
rnacentral:misc_RNA from 1 species